AGGGAAAUAAUUGUGGUCUGACUGUAUUAUUUUGAAAACCACAGUUGAGAUUUUUUUAUGUGUGCACCAGUACAGUUUUGCGGGGAAGCGAAAGUUGCCAUGGAAUUUUGUCUUCUUCUAAAAACAAGUGUCUGAUACAUGUAGUUGCAGUCUGUCUUUGGAAGCUGUAGAAAUAACAAGAAAGAGGCUGACAUAGUGUUUUAAUAGGGAAAAGUUUGAGUAUGUACAUGUACAGUUGUUUGACCUGUCUUACCCUGUGGCAGUCCAAGAAGAUGUUACCAUUAUGAAAAAUGCAGGAGAAGUGCUACAAGUGUGUUGUCAUGUGAAAUGGAAUUUACCCCAACUGUGCUGCAAGAUGUAUAUUCAAGUGCAAGACAGCCAUGCACCAGCUGUAAACUGAGAUGGACCCAUAUAAUAAAUAUGUUGACUUUUCUAUGUAUUAUCAUCUGUACAGAAUGUGUUCAUGACAAGACUGUAUACAUAUAUUGUUAAAUCAUUUUUUAUUUCCAUUAUUGCAUGCAUGUAAGAAGCAAGCAUUUAACAAUUGCAUUCAUAGAAGUGUUAAAAUGUGAUCAAUCUAAUUUAAAGAAACACAUUUAAUUGGACUUUUUAAGUUUCAUAGUAUUUGUGGUGGAGACUGACCCAGUCAUUCAGCAACUUAACUGUCUGUGUGUCAUUUCUUGUAUGUUAUAGUUUUCUUAAUAAUACAUUAAAUGUCAAAGUUAUGGUAAGAUGAACUCAUUCAUCACUUGUAGAUUAAUGUUAAAGCAGUUCAAUAUUUUACCAUAAGUUAACUAAUAUUCUAUUUAACCAGAGUUGUCACAUAUUUUCAUAUAAAUAUUUGUAUAAUACAGUCUAAUCUAAUCUACAUAUGAUGUUCCACAAUUUUUUAGUUAUAUUUUAUGUUGAUAUUUUAUGUUGUUUUCAUGUCUUAACA